AUGAAGAUCCCAGAAAAGCUCCUCAAACUAAAAUACCAUUUCUUCACUCUAACCCUCUUAUCUCUAACCCUCUUUUCCCUCAUACUCAUGGCCCCAAAACUGGUUACCCUCUUCACCUAUUUCUGGCCACUCUUUCUCUCCACCGCACUCGUCCUCGCCCUCGUCUUCGUCUUCGCUAAGACCUCUCCUCUUCCCAACACCGACGCUUCUAUUCAUAAGGAUCUCCUUGAUUACGUCUCCGGUCAUCAUGAUUCGCACUUGGAUCUUCACAAUAAGUCCGAUUAA